rnacentral:rRNA from 1 species
ACACAUGCAAGUCGAGCGGAUGAAGGGAGCUUGCUCCUGGAUUCAGCGGCGGACGGGUGAGUAAUGCCUAGGAAUCUGCCUGGUAGUGGGGGAUAACGUCCGGAAACGGGCGCUAAUACCGCAUACGUCCUGAGGGAGAAAGUGGGGGAUCUUCGGACCUCACGCUAUCAGAUGAGCCUAGGUCGGAUUAGCUAGUUGGUGGGGUAAAGGCCUACCAAGGCGACGAUCCGUAACUGGUCUGAGAGGAUGAUCAGUCACACUGGAACUGAGACACGGUCCAGACUCCUACGGGAGGCAGCAGUGGGGAAUAUUGGACAAUGGGCGAAAGCCUGAUCCAGCCAUGCCGCGUGUGUGAAGAAGGUCUUCGGAUUGUAAAGCACUUUAAGUUGGGAGGAAGGGCAGUAAGUUAAUACCUUGCUGUUUUGACGUUACCAACAGAAUAAGCACCGGCUAACUUCGUGCCAGCAGCCGCGGUAAUACGAAGGGUGCAAGCGUUAAUCGGAAUUACUGGGCGUAAAGCGCGCGUAGGUGGUUCAGCAAGUUGGAUGUGAAAUCCCCGGGCUCAACCUGGGAACUGCAUCCAAAACUACUGAGCUAGAGUACGGUAGAGGGUGGUGGAAUUUCCUGUGUAGCGGUGAAAUGCGUAGAUAUAGGAAGGAACACCAGUGGCGAAGGCGACCACCUGGACUGAUACUGACACUGAGGUGCGAAAGCGUGGGGAGCAAACAGGAUUAGAUACCCUGGUAGUCCACGCCGUAAACGAUGUCGACUAGCCGUUGGGAUCCUUGAGAUCUUAGUGGCGCAGCUAACGCGAUAAGUCGACCGCCUGGGGAGUACGGCCGCAAGGUUAAAACUCAAAGGAAUUGACGAC